AUUUUUUUACAUUCGUCAGGGCAACUGCUUUUUGGUUUCUUCUUAUCUAUGCCCUUGACUCCUCAGGUUAAACUCAUGGAGUUGAUGUUCUUAGAUGUUGCUGAUAUUAAAUCAUUCUUUUACAACAUUUUUAUUAAAGGGGAGGACAGUAAUAUGAAUGAAGCUUCCUGGAAAUUCACUGCUGCUUUUGGCUAUUUAGAUAGGAUCAAAGUUUUGGAUAUAAUCAGAUUUUUAGAUAUAUUCCCAACCCUUGCCUACCCUGUAUUGGACAAACAAAGUACUUGUACUUGAAAAUGAGAUUUUCCUUGAAUAGUCAAAACCAUUUCAUCUCAGAUGAUGAUCAUUUUCAGCAGUGGUUUCUUAUUAUAGACUUUCCAUCGAUAGCCAGAUGGAUCAGAGAAUCAGAGCUCAGCUCAUGAAUUUGAAUGACGGAAAACAUUGUGGGCACAACUUGUAUUGAGCUCAACAUGAGUGAAAAAACUAUUAUGUCCUUAAAAAACUUUUUAGCAAUUUGGAUAUUGUUGAGGUUAAAUUAAAGACAUAUGUAAAUGCCCGCGUGUCAUUUAGCAGAGCUCUUUGAAUUAUUACUACGGGAAGCAUCAAAGAUGACCAAAACAACUGACACCGUCACAAUGCCUUGCAUAAAUGUUUGUGUCACUGACAUUAGCCUAAUAACUUUUAACAAUUUGACAAAUUUUAUGUCAGAUUCUAAAGCUCUUCAAAAUUUCCUUUUUUUUUUUUUUUCUUUUUUUAAGAAUCUUAACAUUAAAAUAAAAUUAGGAUGGCAAUGGAGCCGGGUGAGGCGAGGGAGCCAUUCCUUUCGUGUCCCCGCUCGCCUAACAGGAAGAAAAUUCUCUUCAUCCUUUUCAAUUUUAUAUUUUUUUCCUAUUUUUCAUUGAAUUUUUUUAAAAAAUUUUAUAUGCUAAAUAUAAACAAAAACAUGACUAUAUAUACAUGUAUGCUAACUUCUCCCUUCUCUCCCACUUCACAUCUCGGAACGCACCGUUCUAGUGAAAUUGUUCACCCUGUUCGGACAAACAAGUGAGAAUUUCUCUUGUUUAUGGCAGAACCCUAAAUAGAACCAGAUAUCCCUGCUUCAGUACAGUAGCUAGCUAAAGCAUGAAAUCAAGGUUGGCGUGCUAGAUUUUUUCCAUUUCUUUUUGCUAAUAGCUCUUUGAAAUGACUAAUGAGGGAAAAAGACAGAGGCUGUAGGGUCAAAUGAUUCAAACCGCGCCUUCCCACUGUGGGACUAAUUUGUAGGGAUUUGUCAAUUGUCCCCAUUAUAAGACUUUGAAAGUCUAUAUUUGAAACAAAAGUAUCAUUAAAAAUUUAACAACAAUAACAAUAUUAUUGCUUUCAUUUGCAUUCAAAUUAAGGGCAGGUCCAAUUUAGCAGAAAGCAAUAAAGGCAUAUGUCCCAGAUAAUGUGGGUAAUGAUCAUUGGCAUAUUUGGUGUACUUGAAAAAAGCUCUAAAUUUAAAUAUUUCAAACAGUUGAGCUCUUUCAACUGCUCUCACAUGCCAAAAAGCAUCUCUCUGCAAGAUUAUUAUAAUUCCAUUUGGAAGGCUUCUUUAGUUGGGAUUUGUUCCAGAUAAAGGGUCUAGAUAUUCAAUAAUGCAGAAAGUGGUAAAAGAAAGUCUUCUUAAAUUAGUUUUUAUAAAAUUUAAUAAAAACAGGUGAACUCUAGAAGAGCAACUGGGUUGUCUGGAUCUCAAAUGGUAAAGAAAUAGAAGGAUGAAAAACACCAAACUCACCUGAAAUAAAUAAAAUUACCUAAAAAAAAAAAGUGAAACUACCACGUUAUCUGUUAGUGUAGCAGCUGAAACUGUCCACAUGCAAACAGCAUCUCUCUCUCUCUCUCUCCACAGCACAGAUACAGAGACAUGUGCAAACUUUGUGAAAGCAGAGGUCAAAAGGAAAAAAAAAAAAUUUUGAAGGGUCAAAAAGAAAAAAUAUUAAAGACUCGAUUUUGAGUCGUUCAUAUAAUGGGAAAAGAACCACAAUGCGUUAAAGCACAACCUGUCAAUGAUUAUAUGCAUCUUCUCCAUGAACAAAGCAAACAAGAAAUGUCACUAGGUUAGGUCACCAUAGUUCCAUUUCUUUAACACUAAAUAACAAUUCUAUGCAUUUUCAAUAAUAUCUAUUCAAGACUUUUCCUUUUACAAUAGUUUGAAGCAGCCAAGUGUCAUUUCUGUAACAAUGGGCAAACCCCAAUCAAACUCAUUGUUCUGCAUUUUAUGAUAGUUAAAAAGAUAUAUACACAAACAAAACCCUCAAUAUCUAUCUAUCUAACUAUCUAAGUUUCCCUAUUCUUUAACCAGAAUUCCUGCUAUAUCUUCCACAACCUAAAGAGGGGAAAAAACCAUUCAUAUAGAUUAGAAACAAUAACUGCAAAACCAAGAACACCUUAAAACUUGCAUCAUAAAAUAGGUGGAGGUGGAGUCUCCCAAAUGUCAAAGACAUUUUCGUCACUGUGAAGUGCAAAGAGUCGAUCCCCACCAAUUGAAAAAUCACAAAGUGAACCUCCAUAACUUCGUUGAAGCCUAGAUGUCAAAACCCAAUCAGGACCACAAAACACAGAAAUACAAUCAUCCAUUGAUGAAAACAAUUGCCCUUCAUGUAAUGCCAAUUUAGGAUAACAAGGUUCAUCAGGCAUUUUCCCUUUCAUUAAUCGACUUCUUGAGCUCCACCUAACACUCCCUCCACUCAUCCUCAAAUCCAUAAACCCUAAAUCCUCAUACUCAUUCACUACACAAACAGCAUUACAAUCCUCCAUAGCUAUAGCAUCACGAACCCGUUUCUCAUCAACAGUUAUAGGAGCACCAAUAUCAGACCAAGACCAAACCAUUCUCUUAUGUCUAAAGUCCAGCAAACUAAUAUAACAAUUAUCCUUUCUAGGAAACAAAGUAGCUACCAACAAACAACUACUCCCAUUUAACCAUUGCAAUUUAUCAGCAUCACCUAAUGACCAACCAGGACUUUCAUAAAAGAAAUCAAUUUGUUUACCAGUAAUUUGAUCCCACACUCCAAUUCCAUACUCAUUACUUCUCCCUUUACAACUACUAAAAAUCCUAUAAUCAGAACUAGUACUCAAAGCUCCAGCUGUAUAACUCUUAAUUAAAUUCUCAUGACAAACCUGAAAUUUAUACCUAAGCUCACCUGAACUCUUACUGAACAACCCCAUUCCUCCGUCUCCCCGGCCUAAUCUCUCACAAGCACUAAGAAUCACAUUCUCAGAAUCAACCCAAGCAACAUCAUUAACUCUUUGAUAAUCAAGAUUGAUUGGUGGAUGUUCUUCCAUCUUCCAAUCAUAAACGCGCACCACACUACCAUGAGCUACACAACACCCACCAUCAGGUCCUGCACGAAUUGCAGUGCCAUCCCCUGGUGCCCGGCCAGUAAUCGACCGGCAAUGGCUGAGUCGGUUUCCAUCAAAUGGGCCCCAUUUGGCUGAUUUUACAUGAUCCUGAAGCCCAUAAAAUGCGGCUUCUCGAUAAAGGAGUCUUUCCGGUAUGUGAGAAGGGAUGUGAAGAUCGCCGGUUCGUAGGAGAUCGAGGAGGACACCGAAACAAUCCGGGUUUCGAUCAAUGAAGAAUUCUGUAUUGGGGUUUGAGUCAUUGAUUGAUUGUUUUAAAGCCCAGCUUUCGUCAAAAAAUGCACCGAAAAAUGAGUUUCUGCCGGCAUUAGCUAAAGUCGUGGAGGUUGUUUCGAAGAUUCUGCCUCCUACGUUGAAGCGGAUUCUGUCUUUGGCGAUUUUCAUUGCUAAUUUGAAGGGUCUGGAAAACUUUAUGAACAGAGGAAACAGGGGAAGUGGAUUUGAAAAUUAUAGAUAAUUAAAGACGAAGCUAAAAAAAAAGAAAAGAAAAUGAAAUUGCGAGAUAGAAUAGGCAGAAAUGAUAAGGAGACAGUCGGAUACAAAAAAAUUUCCUAGAAAGUUGGAGGGAAUUGUGAGAUUGUUUUAUGAUUGGAUAAAUUUUGUUCGGGAACAAAAAUCCAAAAAAAUAGUACAACCAAACAAUUACAUCAGAAGAUGGAAAUUUAUACAAAGAUCAAUGAAAAGCUGCAAAAACGUAAAGUUGCAGUCCUGAUUUAGAACAGAGAAGUUAAUAACAACAUAACGUCUUAUUAGACAAAAACAGAGGCCACAAAACGGGAGAGAUGGAUCAAAUAGAAGCAAAUAUGAUAAAAUUGUGAGAAAUUGAGAUCUGGGUUUUGCAGAAAAAAGGUUUUCGAAGAUGGGUUUCGAAUUUCAUAGAAUUCCACUGAGGGAAGCCAGAGAAUUUAUAGCUGUUAGAUUUCAAAAAAAUUGACUCGCAUUGAUAACUUCUCUCUCUCUCUCUCUCUCUCUCUCUCUCUCCCUUCUCUCUUUGUAAAUGUCUCUCUUAGUCUCUUAUUCCAAGUGUGUCCCUUUGCCCCCUUUCAAAGCUUAAAAAUGGACCAAACAUAGUUGAGGUUUUAUACAUAUAAAAAAAGUAUAAAUUGUGGGGUCCACUCCAGUUUUGUUCCCUCGUUUGAACCGUUGAAACUAAUAUCUCAUUGUGUGAUAAAUGAUCCAACGGCGGACAUGUGAUGGUGAGUAUAGCCCUUGGUAGGGUAGGGUAUAAUAAUAAUGACAUGUCAUUAAAGAAUUCCAAUGUUGAAUUUUUCAAAACUAAAAUAAAAUGGGUUCCUCAUAAAGUCAGCUCUCUACCCUAAAAGAAGAGAGCGUGUGAUUUGGUUUGUCUUAAAAAUGUUAAUCAAUUUGGAUGACAAACGUCACAAAAAUUAAGAGUACUUAAUUGUUCUUGUUAACAGUUUAAAUCAUGGGCAUUGAUUAGGGAUUUAGGGCUCUUUUCUAUAACCAAUGAAUUGUCAAUUAAAUGGAUCAUAACUAUACCCUUUGUCCUAAUAACAAUACUCACUUUUCUUUUUUCUUUUUUUUUUUCUUUUUAGUAUUAUUUUUUGAGCAUGGAGAGAAGAAAAUUCGAAUCCCGAUCUAUUAUCAAGUCGUACAUACACUUAUCAAUCAAUUAUGUUUCAGUGUAUACUCAUUUUUCUUUUAUUUUUCUUAAAUUAUACCUCGAUUUCCAUUUUUAACAAUUUUGUAUUACUUAUAACACUAAUAUUAGACAUUUUAGCAAAUGUUAGUUAUUUCCUCCGUUCCACUUUAAUGGUAAUAAAAGAUAAAGAUAGAAAAAAAAAGAUUAGAACGCAUUAAAUUUUUUUUUUAAGUAUAAUAAUAAUAAUAAUACCAAUAUAGUGAUUAUUUUAUUAACAUUUUUAUCUGAAAACUUUUUUUUGGUUAUUUAAAUUAAAACAAUGUACGUUACUUUAUCUGCUUUUAUUUUUUACCACCAAACCAUGUGAUGACAUUGCCGGUCAUGGACGGCACACUAUGGUAAUAAUAAUAUUUUCUCCGAAGUGCCAAAACCAUUAUCAAAUGGCAUUGUGUAUUUUACAAUGCAAUUAUAAAAUUGGAAGACAAUGGAAGAUAUAUAUAUUGUCAAUUAGGCUGAAAGAAGCCGAUCAGUUUUAAAAUAUCAAGAUUGGUAUUAUCACUUAUAUGAUGAGUAAAAAGUUUUAAAUUCGAAUUUUCUCGAUUACAAAUGUAACUAUAAUAUAGUUGAAUAUUCUAUAGUAAAAUAAAGGAUUAAAAUAUAAAUAUAGGUAAAUAAAUAAAUAAAAUGCUUAGAAAGAGGGUUAUUGGACAAUGAUUGAUAAUCACUAAAAGGAAGAUCUAGGUUUGUGCACAAAAAAUUAUGAUUGCUUAUGUUAUAGUUUAUGACAACAUAAUUGGAAGAUAUCUUGAACUCAAAGAGACUAAAAAGGAUGAAACCUUCUACUUUGUCUUGUUGUCUUUUGAGUUAGUUGCCUUACCCUAUCAAUAAAACUAAUAAAGGUUCUUUGAAUUUGAGAUGUUAGGUAAGUACCCAAUUAUUUAUAGUGCCAAUAAAAGAUAAUGCACAAAAAAAUUCGAAUUGGUGAGACAGAAUGAUAGAAAUCCAUUAUCUUUUAAUCAAAUGUCUCAAGUUCGAGUUAUAGGUGAUAUGAAAUCACAAAAAUUCAUUCUAAGAGGUCAUUAACCAGAUGUUUCGAAUUCAAAUUUUGAGAAUGGAAUCUUUUUAAACACUUCUUUUUGAACUUUGAAUUGUGAGAAUGAAAUUUCUUUAAACACUCAUUUAUGAACUUGCUCCCCCGAAUUUGGGUUAAUUGAUCGGAUAUAGGAGGGUUGAAAGAAAUAACGGAAAAAAAAAAAAAGGAAAGAAAAGCAAGAUUUUAGCUUAUUUUGUUUUAUUAAAAAAUCAAAUAAUAACACACUGCCCAAAGCCAAUAGCAUAUGUCAUAUGAUCAAUAAAUUUGGUUAUAUAUAUAUAAUUUUGGACUAUUAAAGCCUCAUAUCACCAAUGAAUGACGUACACGUGCGAGUUCUGCCAAUUGUGCAGUGGUUUAAAGAGCUUGCUAUUGAUUUUAUAUUAGGGGACCCUUAUUUUAUGUUUUUUAAUGGUUUUUAUUUAAAGCAAAAAUACCAAAUCAGCACAAAAUAAAAGAAAAGUUGUAAAAAUUCUACAGGUUCAUUGUACUUUGGUUGCCCUUUUCAAAAGACGUAGAUGAGAAUGACAUGACAGAGUGGCAUUAUUGCAAUUCUUGAUUUUAAAACAAGGAGUUUCAUAAGAAUUCAAGAACUAAGUUAUAAACUUUUGUUAAAGAAAAAACUACUGUUUGGACUACAUAAAAUUAAGAAAUAUCUGCAAUUUUACUGUAAAAAAUAUUGUAAGAAACAGUAUUUUUUAUCAUUUAUUUAAGAUCCCAAAGAUGGGAAGAGAUGACAAACUCUAUUUCGUUUGGUGAUGGUUGUUAGGUUUAUACUCAGUAAUAAUAAACAGGCACAUUGAAGUUUAUCUAACUUUAGGCCUAGCAGCCCUAGUUGCCUAGUUCAACUUCAAAGAGGGUUUGUCCAUUUGUGAUUAACCUUUUAGUUCAUCCCAAUACAGCCUCGGAGUAUACAGUAAAAUAAUUUUUUAAAUAACUUUUAGCGUUUUGAUUAAAUCUUAUUUUUUUACAGUGUUCGGUAAUUAAAUUUUAGAAGUUCAUAUAACAUUUUAUAAAAAAUAAAUCAAUAUAAUAUUUAACUUUUAACGUUUUAUAAAAUAAUUAAAUGCUACUAAAACGGUUAACAACUAUUAAAAGAGCUUAGUUAUUAGGCUAAGGCUUCGUUUGCUUCAGCUUUAUUAUUUGAUUGUCACUUUAUUUACAAGCAAAAUUACAUCCCUAUGCAUUAUAAAGCUUCUAUGAUGCAAAAGUUGAAUCUAAAUUCCAAUGUAGCUAAACUUUGGGCUUAGGGCAUAAUAGAAUUGCUAAUUAAUAUACUCAAGAUUAUUACAAACCCUAAACUCCCUAGUUUGGGCCUAGGGCACAAUUGAAAAUUUCAUUCAACCUUUCAACUCCUAAAAGAUUUUUCUUUUUUCCCCUAGCCCACCACAAAACUAGUGUAGGUUGUGUAGUAACUCUCAAGUUGCAAUAAUGUGUAUUUACAAAAAUAUCCUUGUUUUGCAAAAAAACAAAGUGGUAGUGUGGUUGGGAUUGCUUGUUCAUAUUAUGGGCUACAAUAAUAGUUUAUGGGCCCAUCUUGCCCGAGACAGGUACUCUAAAAACACAUGCUCCUUUCAAUUACUUAGGGUUCCUUUUCUCACUAGUCGCUGCAAAGGGUCACUAUAAUCUGUGUCAUGUGUAUUGCUUACUUGGCAAUAUUCCAUAGCCUAAAAGGUUAAAUUGUAAUAAAAUAAAAACAAUAAAUUGAAAGUUUAUUUAAAAACAAAAUUUUCACGGUUUCAAACCGGAAUCACUGAUUUUAAAUUAAAACUGUUGGUUUCGAUUUGAAAGAAGAAUAACUAAAACCAAACAUUAAGUAUACGGUUUCAAUUACGAUUUGAAAUUAAAUCGUGAUCAUCCUUAGCUCAUAGUAAAUCCAUGGACGAUUAAUUGAUAUAUACCUAACUCUUGCAUGAAGUAUAUAUUAGUUUUUCUAUAUUUGAUUGCAAUAGUUAUCUAUUAUUUUUAUAAUAAAAUUAAUAUUUUUCAAUCACUAUAUUAAUUUUUCUAUAUUUGAUUAUUGUAUAGUUGUCAAUAACAUAUUGAUUUUUCCAUAUUUGAUGUAAAGUUUAUCUAUUUUUUUUAUAAAAUUUUAUACUCUUCAAUUUGCAAAUUGAUUUUCUAUAUUUGAUUGCAAUAUUUUUUAUUAUUUUUAUAAAGUUUAAUAUUCUUCGAUGAAAUUACAAAAUAAAGGAGGUAAGGAUGAAGUUAAAGCCCAAAAGUAAAUGUAGGUGAAGGACAAGUCAAAUUAAUCCCCACUUCGGCAAAAUUUGUUGCUCUGUUUUAUUAUUUCAUAAUAUAUAUAUUUUUUAUUUUGUAAAUACUUUUAGAUUUUUAAUAAUAUUCAAAUAUUAUAAUUUAUAACAAAAAAUAAUAAAAAAUAUAUAAAAAUUAAAUUAUAUUUACUUACUGCGAGUACAAAUAAAAUGCAUACGUUCGAGAAAACUACUCACUAAUCAAAUAUUGAGCAACAUUUUUCUGAAAACGCAGUGAUUUUAACAGCUCCAAAAGGCCAUAUAUUAUUAAGUACUCACAUAAUCAUGAAAUUAACCCUCUUACCUGAUGGGCCCAUAUUGAGGCCCAUCAACCCACAAUAUGUGGUUUUGAACUUCUAAUCCACUUUGUUGGACUUUAGGCUUAUCAGUAACAGCAAGUGGAGGGCUUUGAUUUUUCGUUCUCCCAGUGCUAAUUUGUAGUUUGUACUGUGAUCAAUGUUUUUCUGAAUGUUGAAUUGAUUUGAUUAGAUUGCAAUUGAAUCGCAUUUUUUAUUUUUAUAAUAAUUUUUUUAAAUUACAAUUAUUUUUAUAUUUAAUUUUCAUGUUGACGCUUAGGUUUAUUCGAAUUUUCCAGUUCGAUCUAAUUUUUUAAUCCACUGAAUUUUAGUUGUUAAACUAUACCGAAACAAUUACAGUUUUACAUGCUAACUAGUUCAACCAAUCCGGUCGCGGUUCAAAACAUUAAUUUUAAUUGAGUUCCUAAAUAUAAAUAGAGUUUGAAAACAUCAUGAGACAUAAAUCAAAUUAAGAGUCUAAACCCGACUGAAUGUUGAAUUGAUUUGAUUAGAUUGCAGUUGAAUCAGAUUUUUUAUUUUUAUAAUAAUUUUUUUAAAUUACAAUUAUUUUUAUAUUUACUUUUCAUGUUGACGCUUAGGUUUAUUCCAAUUUUCCAGUUCGAUCUAAUUUUUUAAUCCACUAAAUUUUAGUGUUAAACUAUACCGAAACAAUUAUAGUUUUACAUGCUAACUAGUUCAACCAAUCCGGUCGCGAUUCAAAACAUUAAUUGUAAUUGAGUUCCUAAAUAUAAAUAGAGUUUGAAAACAUCAUGAGACAUAAAUCAAAUUAAGAGCCUAACAUUAUUCAUGUCGUAAAAAUAACUUAUUUUAAUAUUUAUUAUAAAUUUUGAGAAAAUGCGAGGAUCGUAAACAAGUUGAGUGAGCUUUGUCGAGCUCGAGCCGGCUCGGUAAAUGCAUAUUUUAACUAUUGCUUGGCUCGUUUAUAAUGUAUAAUUAAAAAGAAUUGUUCAAUUGUUUCUUUUGAAAUCAGAAUAAAUUUUUUUCGAAAUAAAUUCCAUGCAGUUUGUUAGCAAUUUAACUUAUUUUUAGUCUUAUGACAACAACAAUUAAGUCUUAAUUCAUAUAUAUAUAUAUAUAUAUAUAUAUAUNNNNNNNNNNNNNNNNNNNNNNNNNNNNNNNNNNNNNNNNNNNNNNNNNNNNNNNNNNNNNNNNNNNNNNNNNNNNNNNNNNNNNNNNNNNNNNNAUAUAUAUAUAUAUUAAAAAAAACAAUGAAAUUGCUAUAAAUUUAUAUCCCAACAAAAAUGAAAUUCCUUUUAAUGCGGUUUAUCAAGAUAUUUCGAGAAGCCAAUUUUGUUGCGGGUUGCUUAGCUCAUAAGGCCGUUGGUGUUGUUGUGAGUUUAAAAAUGUCGGUUGAACCUUCGACUUGGGCGAAGACCCUUUUGGAUUUAGAUUUGGUUGGAACAAUUUGGCCUCGAAUUAUUUCCUAAGAGAAUAAUAUCCUCUAUUGUUUUUUUUUUUUUUUUUUAAAAACAAAAUUCCUUUUAUUCACACGUAAAAAUAAUGCACAUGACCAAAUAAGGAAAGGCGCAAAUCUAGUGGCUAAAAAUGAUCCAACCAUCUUCGUUCCCUCAUCAGUGAUCAUCCGAAUCUCCAACCAGGGCCCACAUGGCAACGCACGCGCGUUUUACAUUCGUCUACACGAAUUUUUGGUCGGACACAAAACGACAAGAAGACCUCAACGUUUAUCCACCCACGCCUAUAAAGUAUGAACCACCGAAUCAUCCAUCAGACACUCCACAUCACAUAUUUAAGAAUAACUUAGUAAUUUCGUGCAAAUAGCUGUUUACUUGUCGAUCUUUUAUUGGUGCACUUACACCCACCGUGUACUUCGGCUAAUCAUGUGUAUCGCACCUCACCAUAGUCAACUAUAGAGGCUCAUUCAUAACCUGAAAAAUAAAAAAUGAAACGCAGUCAACGCAAAAGCGAAGGGUUGGGGUCUUUGUGUAGGGUUUAAUAGUGCUGACACUAACCUCUCUUCUUUCUCUUUUGCAGAAGCCGUAAGAGGUCUCUGCUUUGUAUCAAUAAACCCAACACCUCUAUUUCUCUCGAUAGAGAAGAAACCGAAACGAAGAUAGUGUAUCUAUCUCCGUCUCCGUCUCUUUCGUUGUCCCUAUUCGUCGAAGAUUCGGGUUCAAUUUCAUUGUAUUUGGUGCUUAAAUGAUGGAAAAUUUAGCUGUAAGCCAAGCAGAGUUAAGGAUCCAUUCAAAGGAAGAUGAGGUGGUAUUAGAUGUUGCAAAUGGAUCUUCGGUUGUUUCUUCUUCUUCUUCUGUGUUUCAGAGAAGGAUUGUGUUCCAACCCGCAAAAAAGCCGUUUGCUGGUUUUGGAAAUACCGGUGCUGGUAGCGAUUUUCGGAUUGAAACUCUAAAUUCUGAUUCGGGUUGUAAAAGGCCUUUCGGCUUGAACGCUUCUCAGUCAGGAAAGAAAGUGGAUGGCUCCGAUUUCGUGGAAAAUGGGCUCGAUCCAGAGCUUGGUUUCGGGAUUACUUUCAGGAAAAUUGUGAGUCUGUUGUAUUUUGUUAUGUUUUUACUUUCUUUUUCCUAGUUUGAAAUGAUUUAGAGAAACAAAAUGGUUGUUUAGCUCGUUUUUUUGCCUUUGAUUUAUAGGUGUUUUAAUGCUAAAUUAAUUACCUGGAAGCUUGGGUUAUUGAUUUUUAUCAUUUUCCUUUUUUACUCAAUAACAUAGUUAUGAGUCUGUAUAAAUGAUCAGGAUUUUUUUCCAUACUGUUGUUUAUUAUUUUUGGUGGUGGUUAUAUAUUCAAGCUUAUUAAUUGUUUUAUAGAUAAUUUGGUCACUCCAACUUUAAUUUAUGCUGUAAAAUUUUUUACUCAGUUAAUUUAACGAUCUCCAUAGUAUUUUUUUUUUAAAAAAAAAUAAAAAGCAAACUCCUGCUGUUUGGUUCUCGGUUCACUUUCAACAUUGAUGGGAAAUCUUUUUCUGCAUUCUGGGUUACCUUUUACCAUUUUAGAAUUGCUUUUAAUGUUUUUCUUCCUCAUUCAUUCAUUCCAAUUGGUAUUUUCCUUGACUUCUGCUAGUAUGUUUAAUCUUUUUUGGUGUCUUGUUAGUGUGUCCUCUUUUUGGUUAUUUCAUUUUUUUUAAAUGUGCAAUUUUGUUUUACUUUUUGAAGGUUGUUUUCCAAUUUAUGUGUUUGUUUCAGAAGUCCUCUAGGAUUUUGUUUUGUUUUUGCUAAAUUCGUAAUUUUAAGCUUGGUUAGCUGUUGGAGUUAUUGCUUUGGAGUUAUCAUUAUUAUGAACUUCGGGUAGCAGUUAGCCAGUUGCUUAACAUCGAGGUUCACAUGAAUGAUCUCCAGGGUGCUGGUUUGGAAAAUCUUGGGAACACUUGUUUUCUCAAUUCAGUAUUGCAGUGUCUAACAUAUACUGAGCCUUUGGCAGCAUAUUUGCAAAGCGGCAAGCAUCAAAAUUCAUGUGAGUUGUCCUCUGACCUACUAAUAUUAUUUUGGUUUACUUCUGUGUGCGCGCGAUAUGAUCGGAUUGUUGUGGUUGCUUUUUUGUGGAAAUUACUUUUCCAUUAUGAGCAGUCUUUGUCGGUUGGGAUGGGGGAUCAAUUAAUGAUCCUUGUUCUGGAGUUUUAUCUGAGUUUGAUUAGCAUAUAAUUCAUAAUCCUUCAAUAUAUUUCUCUUUCAAAUCUGAUCACAUAUUUUAAUAUGGUUGCAAAUGCUUAUCGGCAUUGUUUUUGCUGGUGUUCUUAAGGGCCCAAGGCGCAUUAAGGGUCCUAGAGCCUGAAGCGUGCACCUAGUGGACAAAAGGUGCACAUACACACACAUAUUUCCUAGUUGAAUAAUAAGAUAUCAAAUAAAUACUUAUUCCUCUAUAGAAUUGAAUAUAUGUAUUAACAAAACAAAUAUCAAAUAAUUGAAUAAUCACAUCCCACUAUAUUUUAGCAAUAUCUGUUUAAGCAUCACAAAAAAGUCAAAACUUUGUUAGAAAUCUAAAAACGAGAAUUUUAACACAUAUAUAAUAAAAAGAACAACCAAAUCAUAUUAAAUGUCAUCAAUUUUAAAUUAAAUCAAGGUAUGAAACUUUAAAUCGUUUAUACAUUUAAAAAAAAAAUCAGAUUGGGCACAGUUGCGCUUUUAACAAAUCUGGUUUUUGUUUUCCUGAUAAUGAUCCUUUAGCUGCUUUUGAGGCAAUUUUUUUUAUAGAGUUAGAAUGUUAGCCAUCCAGUUUUUCAUGGAUAUUAUUUGUUGGUUAUAGAAAGGUUAGAAGUUGAGGUUGUGAUGCAAACAUUAGAUUUCAGAUGGCCGGGAACCAUUCACUAUUUCCUGUUCUGUCCAAGUCCUUAUAUUAGAAAGUUUUUAAGGCAUAACAAUAUUGUAUAAUACGAUCCUUUGUAGACUAAACUUCCGAGUUUUGACAUCAUCACUGAAAACCUCAGGUACUGUCUCUUUACAGGAGGAUCGAAUAACAAAGCGGCAUCUCAGAAAGCUAGAGCUUUUGUCCCCUAUCAGCCCUUGGCUCGCUAUGAUGCCUAUAUUUGCUUUUAUUUUUAAGGACUAGAGUUGGAACUAGAUUGUCUAGAAUCAAAAUAUAAGGCUUUAAAGCAUGAUGCACAUCUUGACUGUAACGUUAGGGUGAUGAUGCCCUGAAGUACACUCAUAACUUUCUUAUAUAUUUGACCUAUGACAAUCAAAUUAUCCUUGUGUCUCUAAUGUAGCUUGCUUAAGCAAAUUGACUUAAUACAGACACUUUGUCAUAAGCCAAAGACAUUCCAAAUUUAAUGGCAUCCCAAACUAAUAUGCAUAAUUGAUUACAGACUCGGACAUUUCUGGUUUAGCUUAUAGUAUAUUUAAUCAUUCACUACUUCAGUUAGCUAACAAUGUUAUAGGAUCAUAAUUCCUUCCAUUGCCUUUUUCUUGUAUAGGCAUUGCCUGAUGACUCGUGUGAUUUUGUUUCAUGGUUUCAUAUAUGUGUUUGGCUCAGUAAGAGUCAGCUCUUCAACCAACAGUUUAAGUGAAUAAGGUUCUUAAUAUCUUUCCCAUCAUUCUUUUUUUCUUUGAAGGCAAGAAGCUUUCUUCUGAUCUGGAAAGAAGUUUUACUGCUCGUGUAUGUGUUUAUAAACAUGUUCACUUGCAUGCUUUCAAAUUGUGUGAUGACCUUGUGUAUUUAUUUCCUUUGUACCCAUUUUGACCUCCUCCUGUUAACCAAGGGUUUAAGACCUGUUUGAUCCGAUAGUCUGAUAUGGGCUUAUUGUCUGGCACAUGUAAUGAAUGGUUAAAUAUAUUUAUUGUUCAGCGCACAUGUUUUGGGACACGGUUGUUGCUCUUCUCACAGAAUACUUGUGACCUAGUUAUCCAUUGCUAAAUCAUUCUCUCAAGUAAUAAACUAAAAAUUUCUCAGCUGCUAGAUCUUUUCUAGUGCAAAAAAGCAAGGAACGUUGGAUGUGCCUUGCUGAGGGAGAAAUUGUAAAUUCAAGCUAUCGUAUGUGGUAAUUUAUUAUCUUUGACAUAUAUUUGCAUUUUUAAUAUGGAAAAAUAUGCUCCACUUUUCUACGUUUUAUAUCUGUAUCAUAUUCCGUUCUAGAUUUUACGAUUUUGUUUUCCAUGCUCACAUUAUUCCUUGUGCAUUCUCAUGCAAGUUUGGAUGAGGUUGGGCAUAUUUCUAACCUUUUUGUUUGAUCAAUUUUUGAAGGCCAUAUUGCUGGUUUUUGUGCACUGUGUGCGAUCCAGAAACAUGUUAGCCGUGCUCUACAAUCAACAGGGAGAUCACUAGUACCCAAGGAUCUCGUCUCUAACUUGCGGUGUAUCCUUUUGGCAUUUUCUCUGUGUUAUACUAGAUAUCUGCAAUGUGUUAGCUAAAUUUGUGGCAGCAUUUUUUAUUGAACUGAGUAGUUGAAAAAUGAAUUCUGUAAUAGUCACUGCCCUUUCCCUGCAUUUCUUGCUGUUAUUUUUUUCCUUUAUUUUCUUCUUUUAGCUGAUGUUUAAUUCUGUUGCUAUGCAAUAUUCCUUCAUUUGUAUGAUGCUGGUCUUAAGUAUACAAACUUGGUAGUUAACAGAGUUCCCUGUGGCAAUAUGAAAUUCAAUAGUUGGACUGCUUCAGGAGCUUUUUCCAUUGCUACUGUUUUAUCGGAGAAAUAUAAGUAAUGGCUUCUGAAUUUUUCCAUGAUAAAGCUUUGGCCUCUCAUUCAGCUCGUUCCCAUAUCUGUAAUUCUUGACUGCAUAUUUAGGCAUAUCACGGAACUUCAGAAAUGCUAGGCAGGAGGAUGCUCAUGAGUACAUGGUAAACUUGUUGGAAUCAAUGCAUAAGUGCUGCUUACCUUCGGGAGUACCGAGUGAAUCUCCUGCUGCUUAUGAAAAGAGUUUGGUGCACAAAAUCUUUGGCGGUCGCCUUCGGAGUCAGGCAAUUUUCUUGCUUGAUUUGUCAACAUUUUUAAUCAUUCUGCUGCCUUUUUACCUCUUGAUUAAUUUAUGGAUAUAUGCAUGCAUUUGCAAUGCAAGUUUAAGGUGUUGAAUUGCAUCCAGAGAAAAAUUAAGAAUUAAUGACAUUGCUAAGGGCGGCCUAAUGUAAAAACGCUGUGUAAUUUGUAUGCAAGUUUAUUAUACUUUUCGUUAGAUAUUCUCUUUACUGAAGUGAUUACUGGUAUUGGCUCUUAAACUUGGAAGAAUUACAACAUAUAUGGGGUUAAUGUACCAGUAGAAUAUCUAAAUGUAUAGUAAUUUCUUUUUUAUUUGGUUACCUAUUUAGGUGGAAUGUCAACAAUGUUCAUACUGCUCCAACAAAUUUGAUCCAUUUUUAGAUUUAAGCCUUGAAAUAGUUAAGGCAGAUACUUUGCCUGUCGCACUUCGAAACUUUACUGCUGCGGAGCUGCUAGAUGGAGGAGAGAAGCAUUAUCAGUGCCAGAGAUGCAAGCAGAAAGUUAGGGCUAAAAAGCGUCUUACAGUACACAAGGCUCCAUAUGUGCUUACUGUCCAUCUGAAGCGCUUCCACGCACAUGAUCCCGGACGGAAAUAUGACAAGAAAGUUUUGUUUGAUCGUUCUUUAGACAUGAAACCUUUUGUCAGCGGUUCCUAUGUGAGUAAACUUGUGAUUGUUUUAAGUCAUUGUUCUUCUGUGUGACUUCAUCUCAUAUUUUCCUAAAAUCCUUGAGCUCACAUAUUAUUAGGUCAGUUUUGAACUUAGUGCCUGUCUGGCACUAUGAUUGAACUGCAUUUGGAAUAGCGAAUGCUUGACAAUUGACAAAUCAUGGUCUGCCAGAAGCUAGAUUUUGUAGCUUUUCCCAAACCAUGGUUUUCUUAAAGCAAUCUAAAAAUAUAAAAGACAAAGUCGAACACAGUUCUCAAAACCAGCUCCAGAAUCAAUCCCAAAUGGAGCCUUAAUCAGUGCUAAGCUGUUCUUAUUUUUAUUUUGGCCUCAUCUUGCUUUUUAUUUAUCAUGUUCUUGACUAAAUUACGAUUGAACACAUUUUUUUUAUAAAAAUCUUGUUAUUUGCUUAUUUACAUUUGAAAUGACAAAGAGUGUCAUUGGAGUUCUCAAUAAAAUUAUUUCCAUAUGGAUAUCUCAAUAUGGAUAUUAUGCAAACUGUUUCUUUGAAGAAAUUAUUGAUUAUGAAUUCAAUCAGAAAGUUUGAGGCAGGGGUUGAAAGUGGCUUUCACUAAGCUGUUUAUAAAUGGCAAAAAAUACUGCAUAAAAUCAGUUGAUCCAGAAGUUCCAUGUGUUUCCUAUUUCCCUGUAGUAUCUUCUGGUUGACGCAAAAGGAUAUCAGCCUGGCAGUUUUAUGUGUUAAUAUGUGGGUAGUAUCAGAAAGUCUUGGUUUAACUUAAUUUACAAAUUUACACCAAGUUAUUGGCUUGUAACUGAUUCUUCUAUACAGGUAGGCAAGAAAAUAGCAAUCUUGAAAUAAAAAUUUAAAAAAGGUUUGAUAAUGGUUCAAAUGCUGGAUAUAUGGCUUUAGUACUCUAUAUAAUGUUGCAUGCUGAACCACUGUAUUUUAUGUCAUUGACAUGCUGUUGUUGCCAAUAGCUGAGUUGAUUUCUCUGCUAUGUUCUUUUCGAUGUUUAAACAUUCAUAUUUUCCUAUCCUUGCUAUUUGAUUUUUUGGAUGUGCUUGUGUACUAUUUUUGGGUUUAUUCUGUUUGGCAGGAAGGAGACUUGAAAUACAGUCUGUAUGGUGUUCUGGUACAUUUUGGUCAUAGUACCCAUUCUGGUCACUAUGUCUGUUUUGUUCGCACAUCAAGUGGUAUUUGGUAUCUCCUCAAUGACAAUGAGGUACGGGGAUCCUAGAAGCAGCUCUUUGUGUGCUUGUCUUCUCUGUAAUGAAUAAUUUGAUGAGUUAAAAUUACUUUUAUGUAUCAGGUUCGCGCUGUUAGUGAGAAAACGGUUCUAGAUCAGAAGGCUUACAUGCUAUUUUAUGUCCGUGAUAGAAAAAAUAUUGCUACAAGAAAGCCUGUUGAUGUGGUUAAAAAAGAAAAUGUGAAACCAUCUGUUGGAAGUAACAUUACAAAUUUGGUUUUCAAGCAGUUGUCAAAGGAAAAUGCAGAUAAUGGUUUGACUGUUAAUGGAGUUCUUCCUGCAGGUUCUACCCAUGCAGUUUAUAAAAAAGAUUCAGUAAAUUCUGGUACAUCCAAGGGGAUCCAUGAGAACCAAGCAUUAAAUGGACCAGCAGUUUCACAGUGCACAGUGACAAAAGAAAAUCCUUGUGCGGGAACCUCUGGUUCACCAUUGCUGAAGGACCCAUCAAAAGUAGUUUCUCUAAAACCAGAUCUGCUAGAAACCUUGCCACCUUCAGAACCAUCCAUUAACAGCAACAGUGAGACUGCUAAAGUUGAUAAUGCUAAUGUCACAGCUGGAGCCAAAAGUGACUGUCUUCAGGCAUCCAAAAACACUCUGGCUGGAAACCUUGGCACAAAUGAUACCUCAGAAAAAGUAACUGGAUGUUUAUUGCCAUACAAUAUGUUGUUUUCUUGUUUUCUCAUUUUGUUGUUCCACCUGUGAUCUAACUUGUAAAUUCACGUUUCCAUUCAGAAGCUCUUAAAUCUGGGAACAAUGGAAGUUCCAAUACUGUCUCUAUCUGUGGAUUCUGGUGAAAAAAUGUUGAAUAAGAUAGACUAUGUAAAAUCGCCAAACAAACCUAGUUGUGAAAGUGGUCAGGUGAACUCACAUCUGAAUUCUUUUUCAUGCCUUAUAAUCAUAAUUAGGUCAAGUCUUGACCUUUUCCUCUUCCUUUUUCAGGGUGAAUGCAUUGCCAGUAGUAGUGCUGCUGGAAAUUCAUUUGGUGAUCAGGCUGGUGAUAGUGUUGAACAAAUUGGGAAUGAGAUUGUUCAGUCAUCAUCAGCAUCAGUCGUACCAAAUGAAUCUCUACAGAAGAAAGUUCCUGAUUCCUCACCUCAACAGAAGUUAAAAAAGAAACUUUUGAAGCACGGGAUUCCAAACAUGCAUCUACAAAAAUUCUUUAGAGCAUCUUUGGGGCUACGGAAAAAGAAAAAACAUAAAAAGAGCAAGCGUUGCACUUUAGAGACCCAAUACCUUAUUAAAGAACAGUUGCUGGAGAGUAAUUGCUUUUCUUCAGAGGUUGGGCCGUCUACAUCAAAUGCAUCCAUGUUAGUUUCAUCGGAUUCUACAAAAUCUCAAAGGAAGAAGGUUAAAUCCCGUUCCAAGUCUAGAGGAAAUUAUCUGAUGGAUACUGCGCAUGAAAGACUUGAGAAGAGAAAUGAGCAGAAUGGUGAUGCAGUUGCAAUGGAUAGAGAGUCAAAGAAGAGCUCUUUUUCAACAUCUGAAACAAACCAACGUGAUUCAAGUGUACUUGAUCGAACAGAAAGUAACAAAAAGGACGCGGUAGAUAAUGGGAUGUAUAUGCUUACACGAGGCAUGGAAGAGACAACUGGUGAGUACUUAUCUUAAAUAUCAUCCAGAUAUUUUCUGACUGUUCAUAUUUGGUCUCUUAUUAUACACAUUUGCUUCUUACCAUUGGUUAGUUUCAGAUCAUAUCUGUCUUAGGCUGUUUUUCUAGAAGUUUGUUCUCCUUAUAUUUUGGCAGAAAUAAUUCCAGAUGAAGAGAUUGGUUGCAUUUGCCACUUUAUCCAGAUAUAUUUAUACUGGCUGCCUCAACUUUUUAUCAAUUCCACUCUGAACUUUUUGUGGAACUUGUAUGUGAGGUUAACCAGAUGUGCCAAUGACUACUUAUGGGCCCUACACGUAUAUUUUUCCCAUGCACCAAACAACCUACUUAGGUUUUGGCCUUUGAUGAUGGUGGGGUGUGAGCCUACCGUGUGGAAUGGAUGAAAGUAAAACAUAUUAUUCAGAAUAAAUGAAGCGGAAAUAUUCUUUCAAAUGCAUGCAAUUGACAUAUGGGGUGAAUUUUAUUUUUUCAUGGUUGGAUGAUAAUCAAGGUUAGCACCUUCCUGCAAAGGACAGAAAGCCUUGCAAUGAAAUUGUUGCUUAGAAAACUCUAGGCAACUAUCUUUUCUGCAAUGCCUAAUCCUCUAUAAAACUAGGGAAACAGUAAAGAGAUAAAAAAUUAAAAUGUGAUAAAGGAGUAACAAAUCUUGUGCUUCUUAUUAUCAGUUGGACAUGGUGAAUAUUGUUCAUGGGCCUUAUCUUGUUUAUUGCAGUUGCAUGUUGGGACGGGAUAGUGUGGCCUACAUCUCAGAUUGUGGAAUCAAGUAGCAUUGAAAAUAUCCACAUUGGUUACGUGCCAGAUGAGUGGUGAGUUGGAAUCUCUCUCUCUCUCUCAAUUUGCUUGCGCAGUAUUUACAUAUCUUAUUUAUGUGUCUUGCUCUUUAUUUUGGCUUUACGUUCUUUUAAAUGUGGAAAAGAAUGUGCUUGCACAAUGGUUUUGAGUUGGUGUAUAAAUUACCAUCAGUCAACUUAAUUUCAAUAUGGAAAAUCAACUUAAUCCUGAUGAGAAACCGCUGUAAAAAUUUGGCGGAUGUACCUAUCUGAUUCACUUGUCGUGGAUUUCGUGGAUUUCUUCUUCAAGCGGUAGUGUAGCGAUUGGAUAAGAGAGGGCCAUAUGGAUAUAAAAUCAUUUGAAAUCAAAAGCUAUUUGAAUUUGCACCAGGUGGAUUUCUAUCAUUUGAAGUAGAAACCUGACUUCGCUUCACUUUUCUUUUAUUGUUUUUAAUUUGAAUAAGAAAUCCACCUGCAUUCCAAAUGCAUACCUAUCCAAAUGGACCAGUAUAGAAAUUGUUCCUGUCUAAUUAAAUUUAGUUGUGUUUUCUUUUUGUAAAUUUUGUUUAUAUUUAUAAUUUAGGAAAUUUUUGUAGUAUUUUCUUGCUUGGGAAAGUGAGUCCUUAUUAUUAUUUAUGGUCUAAUAGUUUAUGUCAUCUUCAUUUCUUUCUGCAAAAUAUCCAGAUUAAAGUGGACUGGUAUUCUUCCAGUCUUGAUUAUAUGAUUUUUCCUAAUGUCUACCCUAUUUCAAUCAGUCAACUUUACCCUUGAUCCUUGACCUUGGCAUUUAGAUGUGUUUCAUCAAGUUUCGGAGCCUGUUAAAAACGCAAGCAGAGAGUGGAUAUGAUUCAUAAAUCCCCUGACAAAAUGAUCUGACUAUUAAGUGUGAAGUUGUUUGCUGGAAUUAGCGUUUUUUUUUAUCUGCAUGAUGAUUGUUUAAUCUUCCACAGGGAUGAAGAGUAUGAUCGAGGCAAGAGAAAGAAGGUGAGGCAAAAUAAGCACGACUUUACCGGGCCAAAUCCUUUCCAAGAAAUUGCAAGCAGAAAAUUAGAAUUUAAGAAGGCUAAGAUGGAUCGAUCUAGCUCCGGAAACAAACCAUUCAGGAUAUGAACUAGUUUGUGUCGAAGUGGAGCAACAUGAUUUGUCGACAUGCUGUUAUAUUGUGUAUGUAGCAAUUAUUGCUGUGUUAUCAUCAAGUUUUGUAAUUUUUGUUUUCUUUUAUUUAUAGUUAUUGAAAGGGAAGAAUUAGAAACGGAAUGAGAGGGAGGAGGGUGCUGGGAUGAAAGACUUUUAGGUCCAAAUAUAUGAUGUUAGAAGACCAAGAUGAAAAAGCAUUUCCUGUUGAGGAAUGUAGUGCUAUUCUGCUUCAUUGCUAACUAAUUGAAGAACAUUCUAUUAUGAUUCAUUUGACGUAUUGUCAAAGUUAUAAUUUAAAGUUUCGCCUCUGUUGCGAUGAAUUGUGUCGGUCACUAUGGCUAUGAGCCAAGGUUGGUUCUUAACUGAAAUUGAACCAAAAACUAGGGGUGUGCAAAACCACUGAACCGACCCAUUUUGGUUUGGUUAGCCAUUAAAGGGAGGUUUGGUUUGUCAGCUUAAUCCGUUUGAAUUGAACUAAUUAUUUUGGUUUGAGUCGGUUGCAUAGAAAACUCAUCGGUUGGGUUUACAAUUACGUCAAAAACUGAUCAAACGAAGAGAUUGCUUUGAUUCAAGUCGGUUUGGUUUAGAUGUCAAUAUUGGUUUGGCUCAGUUUGUAGUCCAAAAACUUUGGUUUGCAUUUUUGGCAUUGCUUUGGUUUGGUUUGAACCAUACCGGCCAUGUGCUCACGCCUGCCAAAAAUUGUAACUCGUGUGAGAUUAGUAAGAAUUGAAUUAGAACUGAAACUGAAUUGCUUUUAUCAAUUCCAGUUCUUAUAAAAGUGGAAUCAGGACUAGACAGUAGGUUAAAAUGGAGAGUUCAGUUUUAGUUCAAAAUCGGUUUUUUUUUUUUUUAAUCAUCUAUAGGUUUUUAGCUUUAAAAACUGGGUGGACUCAAGUGGUUGUGUUGUGAUGAUUGUUAUGAUAGGCAAUAUCUGCAGUUCUUUUCUUUCUGAUUGUGUAAUUUGUAGAUACCAUCCAUUGUAGCAAUCAUCACGCAUGCAUGCCCUUUUCAAACAAACCUUUACUUCUAACUUACAUACAAUAAUUAUUUUUCAAUCCAACGUACCCUUUAAUUUUACAAAACUCUUCUAUUCCCAGCUCCAAGGAUCAUGUAUAUUUUGUUGUCUUCAUUGAGAACCUACUUAUGCCAGCUUAAAUUCUAGUUUAUCUGUUUGUAGGAUUGCAAAUUCUGGUUGAGCUUCAGAGCUCAAUUAACUUCAAACUUUAAAGCUGUUAUCGAAUGUACCUAAAGGGUUUCGAGUUUAUACCUCUUCCAUUUGAGACUUUUAUCAAAUUAGUGAGAAUUAAUAAAAAAAAUUGAAAAGCAAUAUUGGUUAGAAUGGAGUGAUUGAGACUCAUUUCUCUUGAUUAAAGGUCUCGAGUUUCAACUUUGGGUAUGAAAAUUAUCAUGCUGAGAGAGUCGCCUUCUAUAUAGGUCAUGCAAUACUCGAGCCAAAUUUAUUAGAAUCCAAUGGACUUUUAGAUAUGAGUGGUUAUAUUUCAAAUAAAAAAAUUAAAUAUUUUAUAUUAACUCAUUAUAUUAUUUUGAUUUAUUUCACCUCCAACGAAUUAAAAAAAAACACUAAUUUAUCUAAGUCUCUGCUGAAAGCCGAAUAUUAUACUGAGACCAACGCCUACAAGUGUGUAAAGUGUCUGUUCGGUUCACAACCGAACUAAACUUCAAAAUUUAAAAUUGACUCGGACUGAAUUAGAGGCUAAAAUUGCAUCGGCUCAAUUCGGUUGGUUUGAUGGUUUCUUCAUGCUUUUCGGGCUGGGUUGAGUUGGUCUUGAGCGUAACCGUUUGAUAUUCUUGAAAGGAAUACUAGUACCGAACCAAAACAAACUUUGAUUCACUCAUUAAACUGAGAAUUCAACGUUUUUGUGAGAAAAACGGGCAAUUUGGUUCAAUUUAGUUGAUUUUUUUUGUCUAAAAACCGAAAUCUGCUCAGCCCAAGAGACCGCAAUAAUAGGAGGCCAUUGAUUAAAAAUUUCACAAUAAAAUUUAAUAAUAGAAAUUGAUUAUUAAAAAAUUGACCAAGAGAAAAAUAAUGGAAUUUUAACUGGAUAAAUGCACAGGGCUCGAACUCAUUCAACUAUGGAAUCUGACAUCCUUCAGAAACAAACAACCAAAUUAAUAUAUAAUAUAAAAAAAACAUUAACUUCAACGCAACAACAUCCAUGGAAACAUCAAACUCAAGCUUUUGCUCUUACAUUAAUACUUCAAAAACAUACACACAUGGGAACCUCCACAACAUAUUUUUUAUUGUCUUUAAAAAAAAAAAAAAAAGGCAACAUUUUUAAUUCUUUCUUUUUAAUUUUUUAAAUUUUUAUUUAAUUUUUUUAUUCACUGAAAAUAUUUUUUAUUCAAAGAAUACACACGAAAAACAAAGAUAAGACAUGUUUCUAUUUUGCUCCUUCAAAACUUUCUCAUUCUUUGUAUUGGGUAGAAAGUAUGUGUAAUAUGUGAACAAAUAUAUUUUUAGAAAUGUUAAUUUUUGUCUUUUUAGAUAUAAAUUUACUUUUAUUUUAUUAAUUUUCUCUUAUAUUUUUUAAUUUUUGGAGUUCAAAUUUUCAAUUUCGAAUUUAUUGUUAAUAUCAUGUUUUCGCCUGUUGCCAAUACUUAUAUUUAAUCUAUAAGAUUGGAGAUUAUUGAAAGAAAUUUGAGUCUUUUUUUUUUUUUUUUUUUUUUUUUUUUUUUUUUGGUAUUUCUUAAUGUACUUCUUUUAUGUUUUUAAUUUUAUAUCAAAAUGCAUUUUUUUAAUAUGAAUAAAAAGAUUCCUGAUCUAAAAAAAAAAAUAUAUCUAAUAAAUACUGAAAAAAAAGAGUCCACAUGAAUCCUUUGAAGAAAAGUUUGCUGGCAUAUGAUUAUGACAUAAGAAUUAAAAUAGAUAGAUACAUUAAUUAAUAAUGUUUUGGAAGGAUAAUAAAUAAUAAUAAUAAUAGUAUAUAUAAUGUGGGUUGAUUUCAUUUUACUCCUUCUAAAAUUAUAUAUUAUACAUUUAUUUAUCAUCAAUCAAAGCAAAUCAUUAAGAUUGCUUCUUCCACCCUUGUGCUUUGAUUGUUGGACUCAAUUCAAAUUUCCCUUUCUUAGCGUUUAAAAGACUAUUUUACCCUUGGAAAUGACAUUUUAUCUUGCAUAUAAUAUGGGCAGUUCAAACAUUUUACUACUAAAAUAGUAAUAUUGGGUUUCUUUCUUUAAUAAACACAUUAUAAGAGAGAGAGAGAGAUCUAGGUGGUGUGUUUUGUUAUAAUUAGUAGAAUUCAAAGACUAAUCAUUAAUCUAAUAACCCAUAGCUUCUGUGGGGUCCAAACCAGCUCAAUCUAGAACCUUGUUAAUGUGAAACCCUAAAUCUAUAUGAUGGCCUCAAUUUUGGAUUUAAUUGGUGCAAUUUUAAUAUUAUUAGUACUAUUGUUGUUUCAUGGAGAAGGCAAAGAUUUAUAAUUUAUUUGAGACUACAACUUGCAUUCAAACAUAUCAAAGGUAUUUUCAGCAAAAUUAGUUGUUUUAAUAGCUGUUUGAGUAAUGUUUAGUUGUUAGUUGCUUGAAUAACGUUUCAUAAAAUGCUAAAAGCUAAACAUUAUAUGAGUUAAUUUUUUAUAAAAUACUACCUCAACCUUUAAAAACUAGUUUAAAAAUACUAUAUUACUGAAUAACAUAAAAAUACAUUUAGUGUUAUAUAAAUAAAAUAUAAAAAAGCCUAAAGUCAAGAAAAGAAGGCAUUUGGACUACGAUACAACUAUAGUUUUUACCUUCCUAAUUUUGUUAAAGUCUUCAAGAAAAUGAAAUGGGAAGUAAACUUUUCCAAUUAGGUAAAGUCAACAAAAUACAACUUCCUAAUUGGUGAAAUGCUUAAUUGCUUAUUGGAAUAUGAUGAAAUUAAUCAUCAUCAUAUACCCACAAAAUAAAAAUAAAAAAAGAAAUCUUCUACAAGUUAAAUCAACUAAUCCUUACAUAGAUAGAUUUUAAAAAAUUGUUAGAAAUGACUUUGAAAAGGUUAAAUUAGAGUGCUUAUGUAUGCCAUACGGGAGGGAAGAUUUUUUCCUUUUCGAUAAAAAUUAAAAAAGACUAAGAAUUCUAGUGGUUGACAAUAAGAUAGAAAGGAAUAAAAUAUAUUUUACCAUAAUAAAAGAAAUAACCAAAAGGAAUUUUUUUUUUCUUUUGAAUAUAUUCAUAUUCUGGUUUUUUCCCUUUAUAUUUAUGUGUAUUGGAACCUUGUAGCAUAUUUCCUAAAUCUUGUGAAAGGUUAACUUCCUUUGUUGCUUUGUUAUCUCUGGCCAUACUGAAUUACUGAGUGGUCCAAAAUGAAAAGGGAAAAAUAGGAGAAAAAUAUAAAUUCUACAAGAUAAAAUACUACUAUUGAAUUUAUUUGUAAAAUGUUCAAUCAUAAUAUUUUAAAUUUUGUUAUUUUUUAAGUUUUUACCUUUAUAGUAUCUUAUUAGAAAUAUUAAAUAUACAAGUUUUUAUCUAAUAGAAGUAUGUUAUAUUAGUUGAGAAAUUGCAGCAAUGAGCCAUGUAAAAAUGGUGCAACCAACCAAUUGGUUUACCUUGUUGGAAAUUCUAGUCAAUGGGAAUAAAAAAUUAACAAAAGUGGGCUUUUUAGGUUCCUUUUUUUUCAAGGAAAGGUACAAUUUUUGAAAAAGGAAAACCAAAAAGUGAACAAAAAAAGUUAUUUCCUCUUGCUAAUAUCAUAUUUUAUAUAUAAAAUAUUAAAAAGGAUAAACAAAUUUGGCUCCAUCAAUUAGACAAUUACGUGUGUCAACUAAAGAAAGUCUAGUCUAGUAGCAAUACUGUAAAGCAAAGCUUUAGUUCAAUUUUCAUCUCUAUGAAAAUUGAUUCAUUGUUAUUACAUUUAACAGGAGAGAGCAAAAAGCUUCCAUUAGUAGAGUAGAGGAAUGAUUAUCACCAAUGAAGAAGCAUUGAAUACCCACCACCAACAAGCACUGAUAAAUUCAACAACCUAAUUGAUUUUUUUUUUUUUCUAUUAAUUUCUUUCUCAUUUAUGAACCCAGCUUCUGUAUCUGUCCACUCUUAAAGCUUCAAUCUUUCAUUUUUUUUUUUUUUUUUUUCCAUAUAUCCUUGUCUGUGUGUCUCUCCCUCUCUAACUCUUUUUAACUCUCUGUGUGUGGUUUCUGUUAGUGGAACCGUUCUACUUUUUUUUUUUUCUUUUUUAAUUUUUAAAUUGGUGUAUAGCAGAAAGUCUUGAGCUUUUCAUGUUCUAUACGAAGAAAAAAGUGUUUCCUGACUUGGGUCAGUGUUUUUUGUUUGUUUUGUUGGCUUUCACUGACUCGCAAAACCAGACAAGGUAUGUUCACAUUCCAUCUUGACACUGCAAAACCUUCAUUAGACCUUAAAUACCGAGUUGUUUUCUCAAUAACAGUUUUCUAUUUGUUGGGUUCUCACUGACAAACAGCAAUACAAUAACUCCACAAAUUUUGUAGCAAAACUAGUAGUUUAAGCGAGCUAUUAGACCCGACUGUUUUUUUUUUUUUUACAUUAAACCCCAAAAUCAUUUUGCAUAUUGAUUUAAUGGAGUUGCAGAGCCUGAAAGUAUUGUCUGAGACGGGGGCCCAUGAGCAUUUAGUUUUCUAAAGCAUUAGGAGAGAAGAUUUUAAAGUGGGAUUGGGGUUUUUGGUUUAAUUUUGUUGUUCUGUUGUUUGUUUAAGGCACUGAUUCCAAAUGGGUUUUGGUUUCUUUGGUUCUAUUUUGGUUUUUUCAAUGUUCUUCAAGCUUUUACCUUGUCAACAACCCAAUACAGAUGCUUUCUUUGUAUCUGAGUUUUUGAAAAAGAUGGGUUUCUCCUCUUCCUCAGUCUACAACUUCUCUGCUCCAGUUUGUUCAUGGCCGGUGGUGUAUUGUGAUGGUCAAGGAAAUGUUAUUGAGUUAGUAGCUUCUGGUUAUGGCCUUUCUGGUUCUAUUCCUGAUACCACCAUUGGCAAGUUAACGAAGCUUCAAAUUUUAGAUAUUAGCAACAACAAAAUCACUGCUUUGCCUUCGGAUUUGUGGAGUUUGGGCACUCUCAAAACCCUAAAUCUCUCUCUAAACCAGAUUUCUGGUCCCCUCACCAACAACAUUGGCAAUUUCGGACAGCUUGAAACAUUUGAUCUAUCAUGCAAUAAUUUCAGUGGUGAAAUUCCUGCAGCAAUAAGUUCACUUUCUAGGUUGAAAAUUCUAAAGAUGGAUCAAAAUGGGUUUCAAGGGAGUGUUCCAUUGGAAAUUCUAAACUGCCGUUCACUGACUCUCAUUGAUCUUUCCUUGAAUAAGCUUGAUGGUUCCUUACCAGAUGGUUUUGGUGCUGCAUUUCCUAAGCUAAAAACCUUAAAUCUUGCAAGAAAUGGUAUUAAAGGGAGGGAUUCAGAUUUUUCAGAAAUGAAAUCCCUUACUAGUCUCAAUAUCUCUGGGAAUCUGUUUCAUGGUUCUGUUAUGGGGGUGUUUUUGGAAAUGUUGGAGGUGAUGGACCUGAGCAAGAACCAGUUUCAAGGCCACGUUUCUCAGGUACAAUUCAAUUCUAACUAUAAUUGGUCUCACUUGAUGUAUUUGGACUUAUCAGAGAAUCAACUUAGUGGUGAUAUUUUCCCUAAUUUGAAUCAAGCUCAGAAUCUCAAAUACCUUAAUCUUGCAUUCAAUAGAUUUUCCAGGCAGGAAUUUCCAAGAAUUGAUAUGCUUUGGAAAUUAGAAUAUUUAAAUUUGUCUAAAAUUAGUCUCAUUGGCAAUAUUCCUAGUGAAGUUGCACAAUUGAGUAAGUUGCAUUCACUUGAUUUAUCUGAUAAUCAUCUUAGUGGCCAAAUUCCUUUAUUACCUAUCAAAAGCCUCCAAGUUGUUGAUGUUUCACAUAACAAUUUGAGUGGAGAAAUCCCAUUGUCCCUUCUAGAAAAACUCCAAUUUAUGCAAAGUUUCAACUUUUCCUACAACAACUUAACCCUUUGUGCUUCUGAAUUUUCCCCUGAAACCCUCCAAACACACUUCUAUGGAUCAUUAAACAGUUGCCCAAUUGCUGCAAAUCCAGCCCUGUUCAGAAGAAAGGCUACAAAACACAAGGGAUUAAAACUUGCUCUUGCCUUAACUCUCUCGAUGGUUUGCUUGCUCGCUGGGCUGCUAUUUCUAGCUAUUGGUUGCAGGAGGAAAUCUAGUAGGUGGGCAGUGAAACAAAACUCAUAUAAAGAAGAACAAAAUAUUUCAGGCCCAUUUUCAUUCCAGACUGAUUCAACAACGUGGAUUGCUGAUGUUAAGCAAGCAAAUUCAGUCCCUGUAGUGAUUUUUGAGAAGCCAUUAUUGAAUAUCACUUUUGCUGACCUCUUAUCUGCAACUUCAAGUUUUGACCGAGGCACCCUUUUGGCCGAAGGGAAAUUUGGACCUGUUUACAGAGGAUUUCUACCUGGUGGAAUUCAUGUAGCUGUAAAAGUUUUAGUUCAUGGGUCUACAUUAACAGACGAGGAAGCUGCAAGAGAGCUUGAGUAUCUUGGACGAAUUAAGCAUCCGAAUCUUGUUCCAUUGACCGGGUAUUGCAUAGCUGGAGAUCAAAGAAUUGCAAUCUAUGAUUAUAUGGAGAAUGGGAACUUGCAGAAUUUACUUCAUGACUUGCCCCUUGGUGUCCAAACUACUGAAGAUUGGAGUACAGACACAUGGGAAGAAGAUGAUAAUAAUGGCAUUAAAAAUGUUGGCUCUGAAGGGUUACUAACAACUUGGAGAUUCCGGCACAAAAUUGCACUUGGCACUGCUCGUGCGUUAGCAUUUCUCCAUCAUGGUUGCUCACCUCCACUUACUCAUAGAGAUGUCAAAGCUAGUAGUGUUUACCUGGAUUACAAUCUGGAACCAAGAUUAUCUGAUUUUGGACUGGCCAAGGUCUUUGGCAAUGGUUUAGAUGAGGAGGUUGCUCGUGGCUUGCCUGGUUAUGUUCCUCCAGAGUUUUCUGAUCCAGAUAACAAUGUCCCAACACCAAAGUCUGAUGUCUAUUGCUUUGGAAUUGUUUUGUUUGAGCUAAUUACCGGAAAAAAGCCAGUUGGAGAUGAUUAUCCCGAAGCGAAAGAAGGAACUUUAGUGAGUUGGGUUAGGGGAAUGAUAAGGAAGAGCCAAGGAUCAAGAACUAUUGAUCCAAAAAUUCGUGACACUGGACCGGAACAUGAAAUGGAGGAGUCUCUCAAGAUUGGUUAUCUUUGCACAGCAGACAUUCCCUCGAAACGACCAAGCAUGCAGCAGAUAGUUGGUCUUCUUAAAGAUAUUGAACCGGCACUAGUUCAUCAAUGAUAAGCAUAAAUAUAAUGAAAUGCAAGCUAAAUUAAUUAUAUCAUAUGCCUUCUUUUUUGAUGUAUUUUUUGCUGUUCUUUGUAUUGAGUUCUUUCUGUGCUGCCAUUGAGAGGGAUUGAUUGUACAGUAGUACUUGAAGAUCUGUUUUUGACAUUUACCUUUUCUUUUAUUGGCAGCGUAGAAGUUUAAUUUAUACACAUGGAGAGAGUUUAAUCGUUGAAAGCCAGUUCUCUUCUCCAAGUAUCCAUAUAAUAUCAGUAUUAUCCCAUUUAGCUCUGUCUUUGUAUUAAUAGCAGGAUUUUGAGACAUGUAUGAAGCUUUCAGCUAUAGGAUGUGUGUUUUUCCUCUGAAGCAUUGGAGCAAAAGCCAAAAAGGUUCAUUAUUUAUUGUCAUUUGUUAGUAGUUAUAGCUUGAAUCUCAUCUAGAGGUAGUUGCCUGUUCUUGUGCAUUGCAGUUAAGGAUGUGGUGGUCCUGGGUUGGUUCUGUGGUAGCUGGGAUCACCAUUAUUGUUCUGGGUUCCAUAUACAUAUCGGUUAACCCAAACCAAAGCGGACUAAAACAUUUUGAUUAUAAUCACAUUAGCCAAAUAAAUUAUAAUUUAGAAUUUAAACAAUAAAAGGGAUUGAAUGAUUGGUUUUUGGUAAAUUUUGAGCUUAAUCAAUAACUCAAUAAACCAAAAGAUACAUUGAUCAAAGUGUUACUUGACAUAUGUUUAAUUAAUAUUGAUUUAUUGAGUUAAAAAGCUAGCUCGAAAGCAGAUUUAGUAAAAUUAAGUUCAACCUUCAUUCGUUUAUUGAAUGUUCAGCUCGAUAAACUUAUUGAACAAGCUUAUAUGAGCUUUUAUAUAAUCGAACCUCGAAUAGUUUAUAAACGGCUAAGCUCAUUUACAAUUCUAACUCAACAUUUCUUUUCUACACUCUAUGGUUUAGUGGUAUUAAAAAAAUAAAUAAAGAACAAUCAUGUUUGCAUGCAAAAAAAUUCCACUCUCUUUGAAACAACAAUUGGAUAUGAUUAUGAUUAUUUAGUGGGAAUAAUCAGUUGUCAACCACAAUCAUCACAUUCAUGGCCAUACCUCGUCUUUAAAUAACUUUUUGUCUGAAUUCAAUUAUAAUUCUUACAACAAAUGUCAUCAUCAACCACCCAUGGAAAUAAGGGGAAAAAAGAAAAAGACAAAUGCAUCCCCUUCAAGCUUUUUCUCAUGAUUACCCUUUUUAUUUUUAGAUGUUAAAAUCAUCUCUUAAAAAUUAAAAAUUAAGAAAUUUUUUUUAUUAAACUAACAACUUACAUAUUUUAAACUAUGAUACGCAAAUAUAUACAAUUUAGAAAAAUGAUUUAUUUUCUGAUAUCUCAUUAAUUUUGGUAUGCAUAAACAUAUAUAAUAUUUCUGUAUUAUGUAUUGAAAUUUUAUUUCCUUUGAGUUGAAGAUUUUACUAUUCGCAAUAGCCCUUUAUGGCAAUGGAUUUUACUAAUUUGGGAAGUGAUAAGGAUGUUUUCAUUAUUGGUUUCUAAGCAUAUUUAUCAAAAUUAUUUCUAAUUAUGAUAUCUUAAGCACUAAUUUAUAAUGACGGUAGAUUAAUUAGGUGUGGUAUACCGUGUUACUUCGGUCCAAUGAAUUAAAAAAAAAAUAUAUAAUUAUGGCAUGGGUUUUAUUUCGGUCCACUGGCUCUACGGGCCGAUGUUGUAGUUAGUCCAGUUCUUAGUGGGCUGGCAAUAUAUAUCUGGGAGUUCAAGAAUAUUCACCAAUAAAUAUUUUUAAAUCUUUUUAUUUCAUUUCAAAAAUAUAAACCAUAAAUUUAAACCAUUUAAAAUACUGUUUAAAUUUAUUAAUUUUAAAUUUUAUAUUAUGAAAACUAUACUGAAGAGAAGUUUUUUUUAACUAGGAAGGGAAUGAAAUUAAUGUUUUUUUUUUUUUGACCUGAAAUGCAAUUGAUAAUUAUAUAUAUAUAUAUAUAUAUAUAUAUAUAUAUAUAUAUAUAAGUACCAAAUUAGGUUAUAGUUGAUAAAAUAAAUAAAAUAAAAUAGAUUUGACUAUUAGGCUUUCAAAAAUUUCUAAAGGUGUUAUUCCACCAACUUUAUAAUUUAAGAGAGGCAUCUGAUGCUUUUUGUGGUCAAAGUUGCAUGAUCCUAUUCCUACAUAUCAUUAUAUAUUCCAUGAAUACAUGCUCAUUCUUUGCAUUAAAAAAUAUAUUUUUAUAGUCUUAUCUGUUAUUUUGUCACAGCAACAAAUAAAAUUUUUAUAAUUAGUUAAUUUUUCUUAAUCUGAACUAAAAAAAUUAGUAAUUUUUUUUAACUUGCAUAAAAAUAGAAAUUCAUCAGCUUUACAAGAGCGUAAUAUUUAUGUGGGCCCAAAAGCAUCUUACAAUAAUGUUCUACAAAUUAAUUUUUCUUUUUCUUUUUUAAACAAAAUGUGGAUAAAGGAAAAGAGCUAAACUGUAGAAAUGAAUCAAAGCCACCAAAUGUGGGUUCCAGUGGAAUCAACGGCCAAGAUGUUUGAUGUGAUUAACCAGGGUUAGGGGAGAUGAUCAUUCAUCCUCCCAACCCAAGAAGCUUUCUGUCUCAUUUGCAUAAGAGGUGGUGAACAAGUCGUCCUCUUCUAUACAGAGAAAAAAAAGUCAAUAUAAUACAGAAAGCCAAACACUGCCAGAAAAACAAAAAUGUCAGAUGAAGAACAUCACUUCGAUUCCAAAGCUGAUGCUGGAGCAUCAAAGACUUUCCCUCAGCAAGCUGGUACUAUCCGCAAAAAUGGCUACAUAGUUAUCAAGAAUCGUCCCUGC
rnacentral:lncRNA from 1 species